UGAGCCCAGCACUGGCAGUGUUGGUGGCACUCACGUGGUGGUUGUGGCACCAGCACUGGCAGUGUCUGUACCAGCA
rnacentral:miRNA from 1 species